rnacentral:rRNA from 1 species
UUCCCCUAGUAACGGCGAGUGAAGCGGGAACAGCUCAAAUUUGAAAUCUGGCCCUUGGGUCCGAGUUGUAAUUUGCAGAGGAUGCUUUUGGUGCGGUGCCUUCCGAGUUCCCUGGAACGGGACGCCUUAGAGGGUGAGAGCCCCGUACGGUUGGACACCAAGCCUAUGUAAAGCUCCUUCGACGAGUCGAGUAGUUUGGGAAUGCUGCUCAAAAUGGGAGGUAUAUUUCUUCUAAAGCUAAAUAUUGGCCAGAGACCGAUAGCGCACAAGUAGAGUGAUCGAAAGAUGAAAAGCACUUUGAAAAGAGGGUUAAAUAGCACGUGAAAUUGUUGAAAGGGAAGGAUUUAUGACCAGACUUUUUCUAGGGGGAUCAUCCGGUGUUCUCACUGGUGCACUUCCCCUAGUUGAGGCCAGCAUCGGUUUCUGUCGAGGGAUAAAAGCUUUAGGAAUGUGGCACCCUCCGGGGUGUGUUAUAGCCUGUUGCAUAAUACCUUGACGGGGACCGAGGUUCGCGCAUUGCAAGGAUGCUGGCGUAAUGGUUAUUAAUCACCCG